GUCCCUUCGAGGACAUUUGAUAAAAUUAGAAUGAUACAGAGAAGAUUAGCAUGGCUCUUGCGCUAGAAUGACAUGCACAAAUCGAGUACAUAAACCUUCAUAU